CUUAAAGAACAUUCAGGAGCUUAUUCUCACAAAAAUAUUUUCUUUUCUAUCUAUUUCGUCUUACAAGGGAUUUUGUAAGAUUUGGUAUUCCAGCAAAAAAAAUCUUUUAUAGCACCUUUUUAGAACAUUCCCCUCAAAACACCAAAACGUAACUAGAUGUCGCUAUUUGUGACGUUUGACAUUGAGAAAAUAAAUAAAAUUAAUUCGGAUCGAACUUUAUUACAGGAAAUUUAUUGAAAAGGGACGUUUAUUUUCUAUUUAUUUCGGCUUGCAAGGGAUUUUGUAAGGUUUGCUGUUCCAGCAAAAAUUUCUUUUUCAUUAUUUUAUAGUAACAGACCUCCGAAACUGGAAGUCGAAAACAGAUGUCGCUGUUAACGUUGAAAAACGAAGUGAAACUGAAAAUGCCGAAAAUAGACGAAGUGAAAAAAGUUAAUGUAAACAAAUAAAAUGAGGUUAAAGUUAAGUGAAUUUAUCAACAAAACACAAUGGAUUAUUCGGGAUUUUUGAUUGUGAUGGGCAAAAUUGAAUCAUCCGGAACUUUUGGACAUUCUGUAGCAUCCACAAAUUCCGGGAAGAGAUACCCGGACAAGUCCCAGGCAGCAUGAAAUGUUUAUUUAAUAAGCAGAAUCCCAUCCUGGGAUGCUGGAAGCAUUUGUGAAAGAACAGAGCUUUACAGAAUGGCCAUAAAGGCAUGAAGUCGGGAAUCUAAUAUUCUUAAAUAAAAAGGCUUUUCGUACUCUAA